rnacentral:rRNA from 1 species
CUACGUGCCAGCAGCCGCGGUAAUACGUAGGGUGCGAGCGUUAAUCGGAAUUACUGGGCGUAAAGCGAGCGCAGACGGUUACUUAAGCAGGAUGUGAAAUCCCCGGGCUCAACCUGGGAACUGCGUUCUGAACUGGGUGACUAGAGUGUGUCAGGGGGAGGUAGAAUUCCACGUGUAGCAGUGAAAUGCGUAGAGAUGUGGAGGAAUACCGAUGGCGAAGGCAGCCUCCUGGGAUAACACUGACGUUCAUGCUCGAAAGCGUGGGUAGCAAACAGGAUUAGAUACCCUGGUAGUCCACGCCCUAAACGAUGUCAAUUAGCUGUUGGGCAACUUGAUUGCUUAGUAGCGUAGCUAACGCGUGAAAUUGACCGCCUGGGGAGUACGGUCGCAAGAUUAAAACUCAAAGGAAUUGACGGGGACCCGCACAAGCGGUGGAUGAUGUGGAUUAAUUCGAUGCAACGCGAAGAACCUUACCUGGUCUUGACAU